AUUAUUGUGGGAUUUACUUGGCCUAGGGAAGAAACUCAAAACUGCCACAGGGUUGAGACUUAAUUAUAAUGGGUCCAAAGUGGUGGUUGAAAUUGUAGCUUCUGGGUUAUGCAGGUAAAAUAAAAUGGGGCUGUAAACUGUCUAUGAUGACUUCUGUGGUAACAAAGCUGUUAAAGUAAUAGGGCUGACACUACUUGGAUGUUUCCCUCUCUCAAGAAGAUACUGUUACAGACUAGAAAAUCAUUUUCCUACGCUACAGUUCACUUUAGAAACAGAGUUUUGGGGUCAGUCAGCAUUCUUUACCAGUUUCUUGACUGUCAUUUUGGGGACCUGGAAGCACUGGAAUUUAGUCAGCUGCAGGCAGUUUGUGGCCUGAAAGAUGCCCUGAUGUGGGAGAAGGACGAGGAUUGUGGGGGCUGAGAUCCCCUCUCUUGGGUCUCGCUCCCUCCCACCUGCCGUGCUGCCUGUGUGAAACUGGCUGUCCCUUGGGCACAGGGACCACCUGCUAUCUCCCCUCAGGAGCCAUUGGCUCCAGCGCCCUCCUCAUCCCGUGCCUGGGGUCCCCUCAGCGACACCGUGGCAACAACAUUCUGAGGGGGUCAGGGGUCCUCAGUGACACCCCUUCGAUGCAGCAUCCCGUGCUGGACAGUGGAUGAGAGGGGGCGAAGCAUCCGGACAUGCCACUGGAGAAGGGAAAGAAGGAAAGGGAGGCCCCAUGCUGUUGUCAGGCCUGCUGCUUGAGUGGAGAAGAUUUCAAUCACGGCUUUAACAGUUUUCAGAAGGAUGACUGUGGAUCUCAAGAAGGUUUGCUGACAGGUGAUUUCUCUGACACCUUGGAAGACAAGAAAGGACAUUCCCAGCAUGUUCUGCACACCUACACCUGGGUGCACAAGCUCAAUCCAGACAAAGUUCAUUUAUUCUGAUGGAGUAUCCACGAAGACUGGGUUUGUAACGAGGCCAGAACUGUGUGGUGUGACAAUCAGCUGUCCUCCUCCUGGAAGUUUCUCAGUGAGCUGUGCAUGCAUGAACACACAUUUCUUUUUUUCCUCCCACACACAAAAGCUCUGUGUCAAGUUGUUUGAGUGAGUUGUGACACGUAUUAAUGUUGUUGGCUUCUAAUGUUGUUGGGUUCUUUCCACUGGGGGCUGACUACUGCAAUCCCAUUGGAAAAGUUUUCCACCAAACUCAGAAAUAACUUUCAUUAAAACUCUAUCCAGAUACCCUCAAGCAUGAGUGUCUUUCUACUCAUGAAUGUAAGCAGCAAAGAAAAGCAAUAAAUCCCUUUGAAUAAUGUGCCA
rnacentral:lncRNA from 1 species